GACGAACGCUGGCGGCGUGCCUAAUACAUGCAAGUUGGGCGCUGAAGGUUGGUACUUGUACCAACUGGAUGAGCAGCGAACGGGUGAGUAACGCGUGGGGAAUCUGCCUUUGAGCGGGGGACAACAUUUGGAAACGAAUGCUAAUACCGCAUAAAAACUUUAAACACAAGUUUUAAGUUUGAAAGAUGCAAUUGCAUCACUCAAAGAUGAUCCCGCGUUGUAUUAGCUAGUUGGUGAGGUAAAGGCUCACCAAGGCGAUGAUACAUAGCCGACCUGAGAGGGUGAUCGGCCACAUUGGGACUGAGACACGGCCCAAACUCCUACGGGAGGCAGCAGUAGGGAAUCUUCGGCAAUGGACGAAAGUCUGACCGAGCAACGCCGCGUGAGUGAAGAAGGGUUUCGGAUCGUAAAACUCUGUUGGUAGAGAAGAACGUUGGUGAGAGUGGAAAGCUCAUCAAGUGACGGUAACUACCCAGAAAGGGACGGCUAACUACGUG
rnacentral:rRNA from 1 species